rnacentral:rRNA from 1 species
GACGAACGCUGGCGGCGUGCCUAAUACAUGCAAGUAGAACGCUGAAUACUGGAGCUUGCUCUGGUAUGAUGAGUUGCGAACGGGUGAGUAACGCGUAGGUAACCUACCUUAUAGCGGGGGAUAACUAUUGGAAACGAUAGCUAAUACCGCAUAAUAUCUAUUAACUCAUGUUAGAAGAUUGAAAGGAACAAAUGUUCCACUAUGAGAUGGACCUGCGUUGUAUUAGCUAGUUGGUAAGGUAACGGCUUACCAAGGCGACGAUACAUAGCCGACCUGAGAGGGUGAUCGGCCACACUGGGACUGAGACACGGCCCAGACUC